rnacentral:ncRNA from 1 species
AAGUAUUGCUCGCCGGAGCAGUACUUAUCAGAGUCAUGCCAGCUCACCUUAGGCCUUGUGGUGAGUUGACAUGACUUUUUUUACU